rnacentral:rRNA from 1 species
UGGGGAAUAUUGCGCAAUGGGCGAAAGCCUGACGCAGCAACGCCGUGUGAGGGAUGAAGGCCUUUGGGUUGUAAACUUCUGUCAGCAGGAAAGAUGGGAAAACAGGUUAAUACCCUGUUAUUUUGAUGGUACCUGCAAAGGAAGCACCGGCUAACUCUGUGCCAGCAGCCGCGGUAAUACAGAGGGUGCAAGCGUUGUUCGGAAUCAUUGGGCGUAAAGCGCGCGUAGGCGGUUUAGUAAGUCAGGUGUGAAAUCCCGAGGCUCAACCUCGGAACUGCAUUUGAUACUGCUAGACUUGAAUCUCGGAGAGGGUGGCGGAAUUCCCGGUGUAGAGGUGAAAUUCGUAGAUAUCGGGAGGAACAUCCGUGGCGAAGGCGGCCACCUGGACGAUGAUUGACGCUGAGGUGCGAAAGCGUGGGGAGCAAACAGG